AUGUGUGUCUAUAAUAAUAACUGUCCUCCUCUCCCUUCAUACCUGUUCUCUCCCUCCAUACCUGUCCUCUCCCUUCAUACCUGUCCUCUCCCUUCAUACCUGUCCUCUCCCUCCAUACCUGUCCACUCCCUCCAUACCUGUCCUCCUCUCCCUCCAUACCUGUCCUCCUCUCCCUCCAUACCUGUCCACUCCCUCCAUACCUGUCCUCCUCUCCCUCCAUACCUGUCCUCUCCUUUAUUAACUGUCCUCCUCUCCCUCCAUACCUGUCCACUCCCUCCAUACCUGUCCUCCUCUCCCUCCAUACCUGUCCUCCUCUCCCUCCAUACCUGUCCUCCUCUCCCUCCAUACCUGUCCUCCUCUCCCUCCAUACCUGUCCACUCCCUCCAUACCUGUCCUCCUCUCCCUCCAUACCUGUCCUCUCCUUUAUUAACUGUCCUCCUCUCCCUCCAUACCUGUCCACUCCCUCCAUACCUGUCCUCCUCUCCCUCCAUACCUGUCCUCCUCUCCCUCCAUACCUGUCCUCCUCUCCCUCCAUACCUGUCCUCCUCUCCCUCCAUACCUGUCCACUCCCUCCAUACCUGUCCUCCUCUCCCUCCAUACCUGUCCUCUCCUUUAUUAACUGUCCUCCUCUCCCUCCAUACCUGUCCUCUCCCUCCAUACCUGUCCUCCUCUCCCUUCAUACCUGUCCUCCUCUCCCUCCAUACCUGUCCUCCUCUCCCUCCAUACCUGUCCUCUCCUUUAUUAACUGUCCUCCCCCUUCAUACCUGUCCUCCUCUCCCUCUACACCUGUUCUCUCCCUUCAUACCUGUCCACUCCCUCCAUACCUGUCCUCCUCUCCCUCCAUACCUGUCCUCUCCUUUAUUAACUGUCCUCCCCCUUCAUACCUGUCCUCCUCUCCCUCUACACCUGUUCUCUCCCUCCAUACCUGUCCUCCCCCUUCAUACCUGUCCUCCUCUCCCUCCAUACCUGUCCUCCUCUCCCUCCAUACCUGUCCUCUCCCUCCAUACCUGUCCUCCCCCUUCAUACCUGUCCUCCUCUCCCUCCAUACCUGUCCUCCCCCUUCAUACCUGUCCUCCUCUCCCUCCAUACCUGUCCUCCCCCUUCAUACCUGUCCUCCUCUCCCUCCAUACCUGUCCUCCCCCUUCAUACCUGUCCUCCUCUCCCUCCAUACCUGUCCUCCUCUCCCUCCAUACCUGUCCUCUCCCUUAA
rnacentral:lncRNA from 1 species